AAUAAAUUUAAUUUUAGUUUAAAAAUUGGAUAAUAUUUUUUAUUAUAUAUAAAGUUUAAUUAAAGAAAUAAUUUAGUAGUAUUUAAAUUUAUUAAUAUAGUAAAUUAUGAUUUAGAAAUAAUAUUUAGUAUAAACCAAAUUUGUGCCAGCAGUUGCGGUUAUACAAAUUGUACAAUUUAAUUUUUUUAAUUUGAAUUAAUUUUAUAUAAAAUUAUAUAUUUAGGUAUUUGAGGUGAAAUUCAAUAAUUUAUAAUAAUAAUUUAUAAGUGUUAAUGAAAUUUUUAAAUUUUAGAUAUAAACUAGGAUUAGAUACCCUAUUAUUUAAAAAGUUAUAAAAAGAUUAAAUUAUUAAUAGUUAUGUUCUUUAAAAUUAAAAAAUUUGGCGGUAUUUUAAUCUUUUCAGAGGAACCUGUUUAUUAAAUGAUACUCCACGAUUUAAUUUACUUGCAUUAAAAACUUAUAUAUCGUUGUUAAAAAUAUUUUAAAAGAAAAUUAAUAUUUAGGUAUUAUAAUAAUAAUAUAAAUCAGAUCAAGAUGUAGUGUAUAUGUAAGGUUAAAUGGGUUACAUAAAUUUUAAUUAAGGAUUUAAAUUUUUAAAAAUUUAAUAAAUUUGGAUUUGAUAGUAAUUUUAAUUAAUUAAUUAAAAUGAUAUAGUUCUAAAAUAUGUACAUAUUGCCCGUCGCUUUCAUGUAAAGUGGAAUAAGUCGUAACAAAGUAAAUUUACUGGAAAGUGAAUUUAGAAUCAA
rnacentral:ncRNA from 1 species